rnacentral:lncRNA from 1 species
GACUUUUCUCUGUUUAUUCACUGGAGAAAUCAAUACUGAUAUAUCCACAGUGGGUUUAGGUGGGAUCUUGGGACUGGGUUCUGCUCUGCGUGCCUCUGCGCUGUGGUUGGGAAUCGCAUCAUUGUGGCAGGGAAAGGCUGAACCUCAUCCUCCUACCCAUGGGAGACACCUGCAGCACUCUGAGCCCCCCCCAGUCAUGUUCGUUUGCUGCAGAGGAUGAGAAAAAUCUGGAAGGAGUUGUGGGGAGGUUGCCAUGAGCUUGAGGAUCAGCAGAGCAGGGCGGAGGUGGGCUGGGAAGGAGACCUGCAUGUCAUUGUCACCUGCUUCCACUGUGACAGCACGGUGACAAACGGCUUUGUGACAUUCCCCUGCACUGCUCUGACAACCCAUCAGCAAGGUGCAAACAGCAAAGUGUUGCAUGAUAAGGGGCCUGGCAUAACGACUCAGGAGAAUGUGCAGACCUGUGCUGACAUCAGGAUUGUUCACACACUGAUCAUCGCUGCUGUGAACAAAAGGAUCCCGGCCCCUCAUCUGCUCCCCAUGCUGCCAAGACUAAGUGUCCCAUCACACCCUACAACUGCAUGGAGUGGGACAGGGCAUGGAGAUGUCCCAUGGCUUCACCAGUGCUUCUUGCAUGAACGUCAACAUCCAUGACAUCGGUGAAGACAGACUAAGGAGACAUCCAACGUUUUGUCACUCAGGGGACAGUUUUCUGCAUGCCAUGACUGGCAGGUGUCUUGUAACAUGACAGGAGGUGGCAGAAGACCAGCUAUGAGACCUGACGUGCGUCAGUGCUGUACUCCUAACGGAGUCUCCAAGGGGAAUCCUAACAAAGUAGACUGCCAGAGACGCUCACCUGGUCCACAGCUUUGAUAGGAGCAAAAAGUCAUGGGAGAAUGGUGUGAGAAAACAGGUUAUGAACGGGCUGAACUUGCCCACAGGCCAUGGCGUGAGCACCCCUGAGCUGUGGAGAAAGCUCAAGUCCUGGAGCAUCAGCGUUUGUGUCUGAGUGAUACGGGCUGGCAGGCUGCACAGAUACCUCCAGCCCUGCCUUUUUGCACAUCCAGCUGCAAUCACAAGAAUCUGUAAACAGUCAAAAAAAAUACAAAAACAUGAUUUUUUUUUUCUUUCUACAAGCCACCUGCCGCCUGUCAAUGUGGAGCACAACCCUUUGUGUAGCAAGUCCAAUAAACAAAACCGUAAAGCAUCUGUCCUGCA